CUUAUUCUGUAGCCCAGGCUAGCCUCCACUUGACAAUCUUCCUGCCUCUGUUCCCCAAGUGCUAGGAUUACAGGCAGGAGCCACCACACCCAGUCCUUGAUUGUGGUUUUAAAGAAAAAUAAAUGCCAGGUAUAGUGGCACAUGCCUUCAGUCCCAACAGAGACAAAAGAAUGAACUGUUCCAGGCCAGCCUCAGCUAUAUAGUUACUUGAGGCUAUUCUGGGUUACAUGAGACCCUGUCUCAAACAAGAUGGAAGGUGAGAACUGACACCCUGGUUGUCAUCGAACCACUACUUCUGCCCCAUGGUACUCACAUGCCUACAUACACACACACACACACAAACACACACACACACACAGAUAUUACAAAACAUGAGAGAAAAAUCUUGAAAAUAUUUGAAACUAUUUUUAAUUUCCUAAGGUUCUACUUUCAUGUUAACUUUUUUAAUUAACAAAAGUUAAUUAACGCCCUUACAUUAUCUGUUUCACGAUUGAACUGUAAUAUUUUUUUAAAUUUCAAAUCAGUAAUAGAUUCUUUUUUUUUUUUUAACCCUCAUCUUUAGGAGCAAUUAGAGUGGGGCCCUUUGCCAAGGAGGAGCCGAGGGAGACUGCUAUGGUGGACACUGUUCCCUCCUCACAUCCGUCUGCCCCCCACUCUGCCCAAGGUGGCGAAUGGAGUUGCCUGUCCCCAUCCAGUCUGAAGGCUGUGCCUUGUUCCAGUGUGAAGGGUGUGAUGUGCGUGGAUGCGUGUGAAGAAAGGAGCAGCAGUGCCGGAAGUUCUCGGCCACCAUCCCUGGAGCCUUGUUCUGCAGGGCUACAGCUUGUAUCACCCCUGCCUGUGGAGGACUUCAACUCCGAUGACUCAGAUGACAUUAUCAUCUCACCCUUUCUGCCCAAGAAGAAGAAGAGCCCCUCUCCAUUCUAGGUCCCCAGUCAUUGCCUCCAGGUGAGGUGGCUGGGGACGGUUAGAGGACUCUGAGAAGAUGGCCUGUCUUUCUAGGGAAAGAGUCCUACCUCGGGAGUACUUCAGCAUCGCCAUGGGUUUUCUUGGGGUUGUGCAAGUGCCUUUGAGGGAUCCUCAUGGCCUCUGUGUGCCUUCCUGGGCAGAGUGGGUGGCCACUCCCUCUCCUCUCUCUGUUCAGCCCACAUUUCCACCCAAAUCCACCCAAAUCUACCCAAAUCAAGGCACUGAGGAGUCUUAGGGCAGCUUGACCUUGCCCUUGACCUUGGCAUUAUCAACAGCUAUUGAGGGUCAUCCUUCCUCGUCCUGUGAUGUCCUUGCCUGGGUGCUGCCCAGUGCCUUAUGGGGGCAGAGCUACCCCUUCCCCUAUCCCCAUAACCGAAUGCAGCCACAUCAAGCCAGCAAGAAACUAUGGGCUUUCCGAACGGGUUCCUGGCCCAUGGACUCCCCUGCUUCCUUCCCUCCUGUCCCCGACUUCAUCCUUCCCCGUAGGAAAGUCUGAGUGGAAUCUUAUCCCUGGGAGGACCAACUCUUGGAAGAAAGUACCCAGCAGUGUCUAACAGGGCAGCACACCUGCUGUUGGGAAAGGCAGCCCAGGGCAACCUCCAGGGGUCACCCAAAGAGAAAACCCGGAGCAGGGCUGGGAGGCGGCUGUCUUCUCAUGGUGGGUAGGACGAGUUCCAAUUUAGAUCUGAGGAUAGCCUCUGUCCCCUGGUAUCUGAAGGCCUUUGUAAGCCACCAGUACUGCCUAACCCCCUCAGCAGCCAGCAAAUUGGGGUACUGGUCCCUCACUUGUCUGAGAUUAGCUCCUGUCAGUGGGUGAGAACAAGGGGCCUCAGGCUUGGUCAGGGUUUCAGGGGCAUCCAGACAUCUGUGUAGUCCAGGUCUGCUGCCUGAGUCUCCUCCAGAAUCCCUGUGGGACUGGCUGGCUAGGCAGAACUAGUUGUCUUAGGAGACACCAGUGCUAGAAAGCUCCUCAGACUGAACCAAUAGGAACACCAUAGGGUUCGCCCUUAGGGACAGUUUAAUUCUUGGGCGUCCAGAAUGGCUGUCAGAGGCCAAGGAGGCGGAGCCCUUGGGCAGGCCUUGUCUGCCUACUGGAUGGAGAGUAAGGAGCUCCCAGAACUGCAACAGGACCAGCCCCUUUCUCUACCUGUGGGUAGAAAGGAACUCAGCCAGGACCCUCACCAGCUUAAUUUUUUCUGUAUUUGGUCUGUGGAUUGCCAGAUCUUUCCUUUUCCCCAGUUAAUUUUAUUGCUAAGUUUACCCACAGGAGAGCCAACUGAAGCCCUACUAGUCGUGUCUGGGGUGUGUUCCCUGUGAUCGGUGCCAUCCUUUGAAGCUUCAGAUCCAUCCACUAAGGCACAAGAGGGUGGCCAUAGGUGACCCUCGUGUGAGUGGGGGCACAGAGUGGGCGGCUUACAUGACUGUUCUGUCCCCUUUCUCAUUUGACAGCAGGCAUUUUACUCGGUGUUCUGAGAACCAGGGGCCUGAGUUCUCGGUUACAGGGUAGGAGAGAAGGGGCUAACAGCACCCCAGCAUCAGGACAGGGUCUCUGCACCUGACCUGCCAUUGGGGGUUGGGGAGGUCAAGAUUAGUUCCUACACUUGAGUUGUCUGAGAACUGGAAAGCUGUACAACUUCUUAGUGCAACACACUAUUAAAAGCCAACUCUCAGUCUUACAGCUACCUCAGUAAAUGACAGCGCCUCCAGCUAGUCCUCCUCUGUCCUGUGUUCUGUGCUGACCACCCAGAGACCCCCUGCUAGAGCAGCCCAUGCUGUGUUCUGAUGCAGAAGUCCCCAUCUGGGGACUGGGAGUCCUGCUAACCAGUUCAGCCUUGAACUUCUCCCAGAUCUACAAGAUAGGCCUCUCUUGCUGGCCUUGGUUUCAGAGGUGCAAGUUGGACAUCUGGCCACCCGGCUAGGCCCACAAUGGGAGCCAAACCUACUGAGGGUUGGGGCGGGGCAAGGUGUGGACAAAAAGCUUGGGGCUGUGAGUGGGGUGAAAUGGGGGUGGAGUGGCUCAGGUUGUGGGCUAGACCGAGUGGGCUGGAGGCGGGUAAAGAGCUGGGGGCGUAGGUGGGGUGAAGAAGGCUGUGGAUGGAGGUGCCCACUGAACAGAACCCGCGG
rnacentral:lncRNA from 1 species